AGAGUUUGAUCCUGGCUCAGAAUGAACGCUGGCGGCAGGCCUAACACAUGCAAGUCGAACGAGGUAGCAAUACCUAGUGGCGGACGGGUGAGUAACACGUGGGAACGUACCCUUUGCUACGGAAUAGCCCUGGGAAACUGGGAGUAAUACCGUAUGAGCCCGAGAGGGGAAAGAUUUAUCGGCAAAGGAUCGGCCGCGUUGGAUUAGGUAGUUGGUGGGGUAAUGGCCUACCAAGCCGACGAUCCAUAGCUGGUUUGAGAGGAUGAUCAGCCACACUGGGACUGAGACACGGCCCAGACUCCUACGGGAGGCAGCAGGUGGGGAAUCUUAGACAAUGGGGGAAACCCUGAUCUAGCCAUGCCGCGUGAUCGAUGAAGGCCUUAGGGUUGUAAAGAUCUUUCAGGUGGGAAGAUAAUGACUGUACCACCAGAAGAAGCCCCGGCUAACUCCGUG
rnacentral:rRNA from 1 species